rnacentral:sRNA from 1 species
UUAAACAAUGAAUAAGGGACGGGUUACCCUGUCCCCCCGAUUGAUCAGUACCAGCCCGGACAGACUAUACGCCAGCCGGUCGUUCCCCGGCGGGCGUGAAACCAGAAAGCGGUAGAUCAAUCUUCGGGGGUAGCGCUGCUACCCUCUUUUUUUUCGGAGUA